CAGCCGCCGCGGGAAUACGAAGGGUGCAAGCGUUACUCGGAAUUACUGGGCGUAAAGCGUGCGUAGGUGGUGGUUUAAGUCCGUUGUGAAAGCCCUGGGCUCAACCUGGGAAUUGCAGUGGAUACUGGGUCACUAGAGUGUGGUAGAGGAUAGUGGAAUUUCCGGUGUAGCAGUGAAAUGCGUAGAGAUCGGAAGGAACAUCUGUGGCGAAGGCGACUAUCUGGGCCAACACUGACACUGAGGCACGAAAGCGUGGGGAGCAAACAGGAUUAGAUACCCCGGUAGUCCCUGUCUCUUAUAC
rnacentral:rRNA from 1 species